GGCUCUGUGGUGCAGUGGUUAGCACUGCUGCUUCACAGCAUGAAGGUCGUGGGUGCGAAUCCGGCCUGGGGCC